GUUGAAUUGAGAAAACAACACCGUAUUACUCUCCUGAUUAUUUCUCCCCCUUUUUCAGGAUGACACAGUGCCACUGACGCGGCCCGCUACCAAGGACUGUGGGCCCCCACUCUCCUUCUCCAUGACCGACUCUGCUCUCCCCACAUCCUUCAAGAUGGCCACCAUUGUUCCUGUACCCAAGAAGGCAAAGAAGACUGAACUAAAUCAUGAAGUGCUUUGAGAGACCAGUCAAGAAUCAUAUCACCUCCACGUUACCUGCCACCCUAGACCCACUUCAAUUUGCAUACCACCCCAAUAGGUCCACAGACAAUGCAAUAACCAUCACACUGCACACUGCCCUUUCCCAUCUGGACAAGAGGAAUACCUAUGUAAGAAAACUGUUCAUCGACUACAGCUCAGCAUUCAACACCAUAGUACCCUCCAAGCUCAUCAUUAAGCUUAAGGCCCUGGGUCUCAACAACCGCCCUGUGCAAUUGGGUCCUGGACUUUCUGACGAGCCACCUCAGGUGGUGAAGGUAGGAAACAACAUCUCGACUUCGCUAAUCCUCAACAAUGGGGCCCCACAAGGGUGCAUGCUCAGCCCCCUCCUGGACUCCCUGUUCACCCAUGACUGCAUGGCCAUGCACGCCUCCAACUCAAUCAUCAAGUUUGCAGACGACACAACAGUAGUGGGCUUGAAAACCAACAACUACGAGACAUCCUACAGGGAUGAGGUGAGGGCACUAAGAAUGUGGUGUCAGGAAAACAACCUCUCACUCAACGUCAACAAAACAAAGGUGAUGAUCAUGGACUUCAGGAAACAGCAGAAUCCACAUCGAUGGGACAGCAGUGGUUGGAACUGGAAGCACAUGUAUUUUGCUACACUCGCAUUAACAUCUGCUAAACAUGUCUAUGUGACCAAUAAAAUGUCAUUUGAUUUGAUUUGAGAAGGUGGAACGUUUUAAGUUCCUCGCCAUACACAUCACAGACAAACUGAAAAGGUCCACCCACACAGACAGUGUGGUGAAGAAGGUGCAAAAGCACCUCUUCAACCUCAGGAGUCUGAAGAAAUUUGGCUUGUCACCUAAAACCCUCACAAACUGCUGUAUCAACACCUGGUACGGCAACUGCACCGCCCACAACCGCAAGUCUAUCCAGAGGGUGGUGCGGUCUGCACAACG